rnacentral:tRNA from 3 species
GGGCCGAUAGAUCAGCGGAAGAUCGCCUGCUUUGCAAGCAGGAGGUCAGGGGUUCAAAUCCCCUUCGGUCCACCA